CACUAGCAACGUUUGUAGCAACUCUUAUUUUUAGAAAUAAAUUUACAGCUCAAGAACGUGAUGCAGG
rnacentral:sRNA from 1 species